rnacentral:rRNA from 1 species
UACGAAGGGGGCUAGCGUUGUUCGGAAUCACUGGGCGUAAAGCGCACGUAGGCGGAUCUUUAAGUCAGGGGUGAAAUCCCGAGGCUCAACCUCGGAACUGCCUUUGAUACUGGGGAUCUCGAGUCCGGGAGAGGUGAGUGGAACUGCGAGUGUAGAGGUGAAAUUCGUAGAUAUUCGCAAGAACACCAGUAGCGAAGGCGGCUCACUGGCCCGGAACUGACGCUGAGGUGCGAAAGCGUGGGGAGCAA